rnacentral:misc_RNA from 1 species
GAUGAAGAAGCAGCGAAAUGCGAUAAGUAGUGUGAAUUGCAGAAUUCCGUGAAUCAUCGAAUCUUUGAACGCAGAUUGCGCCUUCUGGUAUUCCGGAAGGCAUGCCUGUUCGAGAGUCAUUAACAACCGUUUCGAUCCCUUUCUUUCAGAAAUUACAAAGAGGAAAAGGGUUUGGUUAUGGUGGAGGAGGGAAAGGGAGCGUUUAGCCUGUAAAAAAAGAGGCAGUGUUCCGCCUCCCCCCCAAAAUUGUACAGGCGGUCGUGUGCGCCCACGCAUCGAGGUGUUGUAAAAGCUGCCACGGCACUUUUCACCUGUGCAUUGCGAGAUUGGCCAGCCGGUUUAAAAACCCCUCCAAACAAUCAAAGGUUGACCUCGGAUCAGGUAGGGAUACCCGCUGAACUUAAGCAUAUCAAUAAGCGGAGGA